GCCGAUAUACCAAAAGGCAAAGGGCUGUGUUCUAGCACUCCGCGUUGCGUCGUGAUAAUUAAGAACAGCCCUUCGCCGUUGAUUAUUGGCCAUAUAACACACCCCCUCGGGCCUUAUUGCUUAAAUAUAGCGUGUUGAUUUGUUAAUAUGCAUUCCUGCAUCCAGGAGCGCCUUCUUACGGUUUUCCUGCAUGCUCAAGUCAUUGUGAUGCACUGGGAGAGGAGCGAGAACUCUCAUACAAUAAAACAACCUGCUCUCCGAAGUCCACGUUUUUAAUCUCAAUCACACACAGCGGCGCAGUACAGCACCGGUUACAUUGGUGUCUUCUAGACCCGGAUUCACCGAAGAUCAACGUCAGCUCGAUCACCGUGGAGCUGCUGCUCUAGAGACUGUUUACAUCAUGAGAGCACCCUCGUCUGAGUGUGCCAGAGCAAAGAAUUACUGCUGAAUUUACAAACCCGCACCAGCCGUUGUAAACAUCGGCAAACAUUUCAGUCAUCAACGCUCUAAACAACACGAAAACAGCCUAACCAACAAUGCUAGGGCACUUCCGGAUUUUCAUUUGGCUCACUUGCAGCCAACACAACAUUAUCCUCAGCUUUUUGGCUUUGCCACGACCACCACCACUGUCACCCAAGGGACAUCCAGCCAACUUUAGGAAGCAUUGGCGUCAACAUGGGCCAGCAUCCCUGUGGAACUCUUUAGACACCUCGUAGAGUCCACGCCUCGACGAAUUGAUGCUGUAUGAGAGCAAAAGGAAUGCAGAUCUAUAUUAGGAAGGUGUUCCUUAUGUUUUGUACACUCAGUGUAUAUUUGGUUUUGUGUUUUAGGUAAUUAUCCUCCUGAAAGUUGAGUUUGUCUCCCAGUGUCUGUUGGAAAGCAGACUGAACCAGGUUUUCCUCUAGAAUUAUGCCUGGACUUGGCUCUUUUCUGUUUCUUUAAAUCCUAAAAUAACUCUCAAACCCAAAACAUGAAACAGCCACCAUCAUGCUUGAAAAUAUGAAGAGAUAUACUCAGUGAUGUGUUGGAUUUGCCCCAAACAUAACACUUUGUAUUCAGGACAAAAGCUACAUUUCUUUGCCACAUUUUUUGCAGUAUUUAGUGCCUUGUUACAAACAGGAUGUGUGUUUUGGAAUAUUUUAAGUCUGUAUAGGCUUCCUUUUCACUCUGUCAAUUGUGUUAUUAGUCCCUCCUUUGCAUUGGAAAAUCUCCCUGGUCUUUGUGGUUGGAUCUGUGUUUAAAA